rnacentral:rRNA from 1 species
UGUAGAUUGUAUCUUGAGAGCNGAUUAAAGUCUGUUGGAACACAGCGCCUUAGAGGGUGACAGCCCCGUAAAAUCUAUUCUCAUUGUAAGAUACUUUCGAAGAGUCGAGUUGUUUGGGAAUGCAGCUCUAAGUGGGANGUAAAUUCCUUCUAAAGCUAAAUAUUGACGAGAGACCGAUAGCGAACAAGUACUGUGAAGGAAAGAUGAAAAGCACUUUGAAAAGAGAGUGAAAAAGUACGUGAAAUUGUUAAAAGGGAAGNGUAUUGAAUCAGACUUGGUGCUGUUGUUCAACYRUGUUUYGGCAYRGUGUACUCAGCAGUACUAGGCCAAGGUGGNGUGUUUGGGAGUGAAAAAGAAGUNGGAACGUAACUCUUCGGAGUGUUAUAGCCUACUUUCAUAGCUCCUCAGGCGCCUC